GUAUAUGUGAUUGGUGGAGUUGGAGACAAGAAAUACUACAAUGAUGUUUGGGUUCUUGAUGUGAUAAAUUCAUCAUGGACGCAGCUUGAUGUAAUGGGCCAAAAACCACAGGGACGAUUUUCUCAUACUGCUACUGCUCGGAACACGGAUAUUGUAAUCUAUGGAGGUUGUGGUGAGGAUGAGCGGCCACUUAAUGAGUUACUUAUCUUGCAGUUUGGAGUAGAAUAUCCUAAUGGGACUAGCACCUUUUCUGGUUGCAGAGCUUCUGGAAAUACAAGUCAUUAUGAUAAGAAAAGGUUCCUGAGAGAAAAAGACAAUAGCUCGGUACAAUAGAUGAAAACUUGGUUCUUUUUUCGUGAAUAUUAACAAUUUGAGAUUUAGGAACGUAGGUCACAAGACAACAUAGUUCAUGCUCUUGUUGAUGUGGAUAGUGGGGCGGAAUCGGAUCAUGUCUCUAACACCCAACGUUGACUUUUUUGAUUCGUAUACUUUUGGAUUGUAAUAUUGCUAUGUUUUCUUGCAUAUGUAAUUUUUUUUUAUGAUAGUUUUAAUUCGAAUUAGAUGUACUUUUGAAGGUGAAUUUAAUUGUAGGAAGUAGUUUAUGGAUGUUUUAACUUUACGAUGUUUAAGUGUUUGAAUGUAGAAAGUAGUUUAUGGUUGUUUAACUUUACGAUGUUCAAGUGUUUGAAUGUAGUUUUAAGGAUAUUUAGAAGUACUUUAAAUUGAAA